AUUCGAUUCCGUAAGUAGCGGCGAGCGAACGCGGAUUAGCCCAAACCAAUAAAGUUUUCUUUAUUGGGGUUGCGGACAUAUCAUAACGAAGAGGUAUCGUAAUUGAAGAGGUUUGGAAAGACUCACCACAGAAGGUAAUAGUCCUGUAUGUUAAACGAGAAGACUUCAGAUAUGAUCCAGAGUACCACGGGACACGUGAAACCCUGUGGGAAGCAGGAGGGA
rnacentral:rRNA from 1 species